UUCUUGUUCUACAUGCUUAUAUUAUUUGAUUGUAAUCAUCAUGAUGUUUCUAGUAUUUUUAUAUUUUGAUAGUUUAGUUUAAUUUUUAAACUUAUUUUUAAUUAUUGAAUGCAAAUAAAAAUUUUUAAAAUUUAUAUUCUACUGUGUUAUCGAAGUCCAACAGUAGUAUCAAAGUCAUCCUUGAUUGAUUCAAUCAAAUAUCAUAUUAUUAUUGUGAUAUGGAUUAAAUCCAGUUCAUAUUAUGCCAAAAUUAGAUUUUUUGAUUGAUAUUUAAUUGAUGUUCUUGAUACAUUUUUGUUAAUAAUAAUGUGUUAUC
rnacentral:lncRNA from 1 species